CUGCUGUGAUGUUUUUCUUAGGACACCUUUGGAUUAUCCGUGAAAAGAACUUGGAAUUCUGAGCAGC